rnacentral:rRNA from 1 species
AUUGAACGCUGGCGGCAGGCCUAACACAUGCAAGUCGAGCGAGCGGCGGACGGGUGAGUAAUGGCUGGGAAACUGCCUGAUGGAGGGGGAUAACUACUGGAAAAGGUAGCUAAUACCGCAUACCAUCAGAUGUGCCCAGAUGGGAUUAGCUAGUAGGUGGGGUAACGGCUCACCUAGGCGACGAGCCCUAGCUGGUCUGGGAGGAUGACCAGCCACACUGGAACUGAGACCCGGUCCAGACUCCUACGGGAUGCAGCAGUGGAGAAUAUUGCACAAUGGGCGCAAGCCUGAUGCAGCCAUGCCGCGUGUGUGAAGAAGGCCUUCGGGUUGUAAAGCACUUUCAGCGGGGAGGCGUUACCCGCAGAAGAAGCACCGGCUAACUCCGUGCCAGCCGCCGCGGUAAUAC